CCUACGGGAGGCAGCAGUGGGGGAUAUUGCACAAUGGGGGGAACCCUGAUGCAGCGACGCCGCGUGGGUGAAGAAGCGCCUCGGCGCGUAAAGCCCUGUCAGCAGGGAAGAAAAUGACGGUACCUGAAGAAGAAGCCCCGGCCAACUACGUGCCAGCAGCCGCGGUAAUACGCAGGGGGCAAGCGUUAUCCGGAUUUACUGGGUGUAAAGGGGGCGCAGACGGGGAUGCAAGCCAGGAGUGAAAGCCCGGGGCCCAACCCCGGGACUGCUCUUGGAACUGCGUGGCUGGAGUGCAGGAGGGGCAGGCGGAAUGCCUGGUGUAGCGGUGAAAUGCGUAGAUAUCAGGUGGAACACCGGUGGCGAAGGCGGCCUGCUGGACUGCAACUGACGUUGAGGCCCGAAAGCGUGGGGAGCGAACAGGAUUAGAUACCCGAGUAGUC
rnacentral:rRNA from 1 species